UGGCAGGUGGCAGCGGCGGGGAUGUGGGUCCUGGGUUGAGCUGAGAUUGCGGUUGGGGUUUCUUUCCUUUCCUGAUUGCUUUUUUUUUUUUUUUUUUCCUCUUUCUUUCUUUCUUUCAAGGGCUUUUCUGUAAAUCAACCCAAGCUCCCUAGAGAGCAUCGUCUCUGUGCCGCAGUGGGAGCCCCUGCUCCAGCUGGGCAUGAGGACGGGAGUGAAGCCGGGUGGAGCACAGCCCUGGGCGGGGGGACCCUGCCCUCUAUGGGGCAGUGGGUCACCCCGCCGAAAAUCACAUUUUAGGGUCCCUUCAGUCAAACCACCCACCACAACCUUCUUCUCCCCAGCCACAGUACGGGAGAGCAGCAUCCCCACGGGACUGCCACCUCCUAGGAGCUGUGUCACGGGGCAGGAGGUCAGGAUGUGGCUACCCCAUCCCAAACUGCAGCUCUGAGACAAAGAGGAUCCAUUCCGGAGCUCUGCUCGCUUGGAGCUCAGCGACCUCCUGCCACAGCGUGGCAGGAGUUAUUCAAAGGCGGGCGGAAGCGAGCGCAGCAACUGAAACAACAAUGAAAAGGAAACAGAGCUCGAAAAAUUCUCCGUUCAUAAAUCAACUGAACUGCAGGUGAUCCCUGGGCAGGAGCGAGCUGAGGAAGAGACACGGCUCGGCUCGGCAUGGCCAGCAGCCAGGCAGGCUCCGGCCCCCCAGGCAGGGAUGGGGGAGGCCGGGAUUUCCCAGGGUGGUCCUGAGUGGUGCUGGGAUCCGUGUCCAUGUCCCUGGGGCUGCACAUCAGGGACUUUGAGGCAGGAAAUAGAGCUGCUGGAUUGGGACGAGCUCCUCAGUGCUGGCAACAUCUCUGCAUGGGCAGGGGAUGGGCAUGGUUGGAAAAAAAUCUCCCCCUCCUGCCUCCAGUUGUGUCCUGCAGCAUCUUGCUGCAGGCAGGAUGGGGGCCAGUUUGGACAAAUCUAGCUGUCCCCUCCUAGCUGUGCCCUCUGCCAGCUCCUGUAAGCUGAGAACCAGUCCUGGGGACACCAAAAGGAAUUUAUGCUUUUGGGACCAGUGGAUGGCCCCAAGGACCAGGCUGGUGGCAGUGGGCUGACCUUACAGCAGAGGAAAUGAUCCAGUUGUGUUCCCCGCACUGGGAAAGCCAGGAGAUAUUGCAUGUCCCCUUCUGCUGCUAUCCGUCCUCCCUCCUGUGAAUUCCCUGUCAUCUUGUCUUUUGGCAGAGCUGGAAAACUGGGGGACCACCGUAAAUAAAUCCUGUGUCUUUAAGCCGUUUUGUACAGUACAAGAAAAUGCACUCGUUGAAUUACAGCUUUUUAAUCAAAUACAUGUAACCAUGUCACUUAAAGUGCUCGCGAAAAGCAAGGAAAAAAAAAACCCAACACAAUUGGAAGAGUACGAUAUUAAAACCAGCUGCCUGCUUACCCCCACCACAGUUAAUAGUUUUUGAAUGUUCUGAAUGAGAGAGAAACCAGAGCCAAGCUCCACUUUCAUGUCCAUCUUUCUGAUCAAGCCCUGUCAGACGGGGGGGCCGGGCAGCCUGGCACAGAGGCGGGGGAUGCGGGAGGGCUGCACUCCCUUGUCCUGCCGCUUUGCCCAUCCCUUCGGGCUUUGUCCCCGUGCUGAUGGGAUGUGAGAGCUCACCGUCUUCCUGCCUGCCUGGGACCCAGCCUGGAGAUGGGAGCACAGGUUGCCCAAGUCAUGCAGAGGUGAGGGAUGCUGCCCUGGGACAUCACCACCACGUUAUGUGUCCCCUCCUGAACAAAUUUUACCCAAUUCUACCUCUUGAUGCUUAUUCCUGCAAUUUGGCAUCGCCGCUCGUCCCCCAGAGGCACUGUGCUACCUACAGCAUCCCUUCCUCUGAGCGUGCCAGCGCAGUCCAUGGUGUCACAUCCCUGUGCCCCAUUCCCUUGGGACACACAUGCCAGGACCACCUCAAUGCCUGCCUCCGGCCUCACCGGCCACCGACCCCCCGGCCAGCACAGCCUGCCAACCACCCGAGCUGCGCAGUUCCCCCGCAACGUGGACCAAUGCUCAUUAAGCAUGAGGCAGAGACCACCAAAUAUGUCAAAACACACUUAAAAUUUAUUGUUUCAUACCAUACGUUUGAGUCUCUUGAACGCUGGCCAGUGUUUCUCCCUCUCCGCGAUGGGGCCUAUCUGCUGUCACCGACGCUUCGCGUAUAUGUAUAGCCCGCUUGCUUGCUGGCUUUUUUUUCC